UACGUAGGGGGCAAGCGUUGUCCGGAUUUAUUGGGCGUAAAGAGCGUGUAGGCGGCUUUACAGGUCCGUUGUGAAAACUCGAGGCUCAACCUCGAGACGCCGGUGGAAACCGUAAAGCUAGAGUCCGGAAGAGGAGAGUGGAAUUCCUGGUGUAGCGGUGAAAUGCGCAGAUAUCAGGAGGAACACCCGUGGCGAAGGCGCCACUCUGGGCCGGUACUGACGCUGAGGAGCGAAAGCGUGGGUAGCAAACAGG
rnacentral:rRNA from 1 species